ACGGUUAUUCCAGGCCAACAGUUGUACAAAUAAAUGCAUUCAUUAAAAUAAUUACCUAGUGGUACUUGCAUUUGCUUUGUAAGCAUUAGUGCAAUUAAAUAAGUAUGUACUUACACACAGAAUGUAAAACAAAAAAUAUAUGUAACUCAGUGAAAUAAAAACAAAACUAAAUAUCAGAGAAAAAAAAUAUAAAAACAUGAAAUUUACAACUGUGCUACUGUUUAUUUUCGUGAUUGUGAUAGCAUUUGCUACGUUGACAAGCGCCAAAAAACACAAAAAGCAUGGCGGCGGCGGCGGCGGCGGCGGUGGCGGUGGCGACAGCGGUGGCGGCGGCGGCGGUGGCGGCGGCAGUGGCGGUGGCGGCGGCGGCGGAGGCGGGGGAGAAGGAGGGGACGGGGGGGACAGCUAUUCAGAGUAUGAAGACAAGAGUAGUUGUGUUGCUGUAUGUGACGGACUGCUUUAAUAAAAAAUUGUUACUAAGUAUACUUUGUUAAGUAAAUAUUAUUACAUAGAUUUAUUUCAUCUGGGUAUAUGUAUACAUAUAUACAGGUAGUAUUUACAAUAAAUGAUUUUUUAUCUUUUAUCUUUAUCUUUAUCUGAAUUAUGAACAUUUUUAUGAGCAAUAAACCUAUACAUUUGAGUUUAUGUGAAUUUAAUUCUGAAUAUUUUUAAACCGAAUGAAGUGUGGGGAGGAGAUGUGUCUCGUGAGGGUGAUUGCUGAAAAAUGCACGUUUUUGUAUACAGGCUGCUCUAAAUUUCACAUAAACCAACUGUGAACAUAAACCAACCUCUCACGCUUCUUUGUUUAUAAGUUUUGAGUGUAUCUUUAUGGAGUAAAUCUAUAAAGGAGUGGUGGUAGCUGAGUCGGGUAAGCGCCCGCUUGUCACGCCAGAGAUGCUGGUUCGAUUCCCGACUCUGAUAUUUACUAAUUAAUUCUUUGGAAUUUAUGUAUAAUGUAUACCUACCAUCGCUCUUACGGUGAAGGAAAAAAACCUGAAUAAAACAGCGCCCAUCACAUCUGUAGGGUAUGCUUAGUGAGUUAUCAAUAUUGAUUGAGGGUAGCAUAUGUGUUGGAACAAUUUACCUCCACCAAUUAGACGAGCUAAAAUCAAAAGUUCUUUUAAAUGUCUUCUUAAAAAAUACCUUCUAUCCCUUCAAAAACUUUGUAAUACGUCACAUUCCGCAA